ACUUUUUUGCCACCGGGUAAAAAAGACAGGAGUUUUGACUCCAGAGCGCCAGACUUUCUAUCAUUAGGUCAUAGAAGAUAGGAAGGUCUGGCAUUUUUUAU
rnacentral:ncRNA from 1 species